AUUGAACGCUGGCGGCAGGCCUAACACAUGCAAGUCGAACGGUAACAGGAAACAGCUUGCUGUUUCGCUGACGAGUGGCGGACGGGUGAGUAAUGUCUGGGAAACUGCCUGAUGGAGGGGGAUAACUACUGGAAACGGUAGCUAAUACCGCAUCACGUCGCAAGACCAAAGAGGGGGACCCUCGGGCCUCUUGCUCUCGGAUGUGCCCAGAGGGGAUUAGCUUGUUGGGGGGGUAACGGCUCACCAAGGCGACGAUCCCUAGCUGGUCUGAGAGGAUGACCAGCCACACUGGAACUGAGACACGGUCCAGACUCCUACGGGAGGCAGCAGUGGGGAAUAUUGCACAAUGGGCGCAAGCCUGAUGCAGCCAUGCCGCGUGUAUGAAGAAGGCCUUCGGGUUGUAAAGUACUUUCAGCGGGGAGGAAGGGAGUAAAGUUAAUACCUUUGCUCAUUGACGUUACCCGCAGAAGAAGCACCGGCUAACUCCGUGCCAGCCGCCGCCGUAA
rnacentral:rRNA from 1 species